rfam:Ovis aries breed Texel chromosome 1, whole genome shotgun sequence.
UCCCUGAUGGUCCAGUGGCUAAGACUCUGCACUCCCAGUCCAGGGGGCCUGGGUUCAAUCCCUCGUCAGGGAA